rnacentral:misc_RNA from 1 species
GAUGAAGAACGCAGCGAAAUGCGAUAAGUAGUGUGAAUUGCAGAAUUCAGUGAAUCAUCGAAUCUUUGAACGCACAUUGCGCCCCUUGGUAUCCCGAGGGGCAUGUCUGUUCGAGCGUCAUUUCACCACUCAAGCCUGGCUUGGUGUUGGGCGACGUCCUCUUUGGGGACGCGCCUCGAAACGCUCGGCGGCGUGGCACCGGCUUUAAGCGUAGCAGAAUCUUUCGCUUUGGAAGUCGGGGCCCCGUCUGCCGGAAGACCUGCUCGCAAGGUUGACCUCGGAUCAGGCAGGGAUACCCGCUGAACUUAAGCAUAUCAAUAAGCGAGGA